rnacentral:tRNA from 1 species
GGGUCCAUAGUUUAGUGGUAAAACAGUGGUCUCCAAAACCACCGUCCUCCGUUCGAGUCGGAGUGGACUCG